rnacentral:lncRNA from 1 species
GUGGGUAACAAACUACAAAUUUAUACUGCAUCUAUGAAUUAUAAAUUAUUUUAUCGAAUCACUAAGUUUUACAAAUAUUCAUACAUAAUUCAUAUUUUUUUAAAAUCUUUAAUUAAAAAAAGAAAGGCCGUACGAUUGGUCAACCGAUCUUGUCAUCCGAACUAACUAACUAAUCUCGCCGGUCACAAGCCUACGAAUCUAUGCUGCAUC